CAGUAUUGAAUUCAUUAUUUAAAACAUAUAAACCGAUAAAUAUAUAGUCAACACAUCUCUCGUUUUAACAUGAAAGUAUUUCAAAUAAUUUUUGCAAUUUCUUGCAUUAUUGCCUUUGCCAUGGCAUCACCUGGUAAUAAUGUUAUUAAAGGACAUAAUAAUGGAAAUAAUAAACAAAUUAACGGUGAUGCUCAUGCUAGUUUGUUCGGUUAAAUUUAUGUGAAAAGAAAAGCCCUAAAAAAUGUUAAAAGUAAAGUUGGAGCAAUAAAUUGCUUAUGAUUUUAAAUAAAGUUCUCUAAUUGACGUU